UAUAUACUAAUUCUCAGUUAACUGUUCAUCGGCUUAGUAACAGUGCCGGCUCGAGCCGAGCCGUUAAUGUGAAAAGACCAUUUUGCCCUUCGUCUGUUGGAAUAAUUACGGUUUGCUGUUUGACCUACCUAUAAAAUGUGCUGAACUGAUAGAAGCGAUCUUUUUCCUCUCUCUUCGUUUUUCAGCUGAGUUCUGCGUUCUAUUGUUGACAGAGAGUGAGAGAGAGGGAGAGGGUUGGUAACAGUGGGGGUUUCGGAUUCUCGGUUUCGAUUGAGCUGGCAAUCUUUUCAUCAAAUCAGACGAUCCGAUUGAGCAAUCAUAUAUCUUUGAGACUUUGAGCUUCAGAUACAUUCAUGCAUGGAGAAGUCCAUCGCAAUAUGACAGAUUGGAAGGUGCAUGCAUGUGAAGGUAUGUGGGUUUAUCUAGCUGUGUUUGGUUUGGCAUUUGAAUUUGGUUUUGUGGGUGAUUUAGCAUUUUUUUUAAUCUGAGUUUUGUGUGGGUUUGCAUUAGAGCUGUGUUAUGUGGAAUUAGAUAUGGGAAGUAGUUAGAUUUAGCAAAUCGUGUCAUGCAUCUGUUAGUAUAUAUCAUUUUUUGCUUUGUUGUUAUUUCUGCGAGCAAUUUUUCAUUUGGUGUCUUUAUGAACACUUCUUUUUUCUUCUUUUUUUCGUUCCAGGUGUAGCAUCUUUCUUAUUCAUACUGUAUUGGAUUAUUGUAUGGAGUUGAUUCUGUCUUAUUUCGAUGAGGUCAGGUGAAGAAGGUAGGUAACUCAGAGAAAAGGAAGAGGGGGACGGGAACAAUCGCUUUGGCAUCGUUUAUAUUUGAAGUUUGAUCAUGUCUAGCUCAUAAUUGUUGAAUGGAAUCAUAUAUCCCAAUUUCAACUGUACCAAUGAUAGCACAGUGAAACAAAUGUUCAAUUGAUAGGUGUAUCAAUACGUAAUGGAAGAGAAAUCCUUUUAAAGGACGAUUGGAGAAGGUUAGAGGAGCCUUAUGGAAGUAUAUUCAUAACUAUUCCAACUGUUCUUGAUUCAUCAUUGGCUCCAGAAGGGCACCGUAUUCUUCAUAUUUACGACCUCUUCCAUUGAAGACUGGGAGGGACUUCUCUCGAAAGGACUAUGAAUCAAAGGAGCUUAUGGCAGAUGUCAUCAUUAGCAGAUUAGAGAAGAUACUAUUUCCAGGGCUUAAGUCAUCCAUCGUUUUUAAGGAGGGAGACCAGCAUUGAAUCAGCAACACCAUCGACCAAAACCAUCAACAAAGAAAAAAUGGACUGAAAUGUCAUGACACUUUUGGUGUAAAUAGAACUGGAGGAAGCAACUUUUUGGACAACCUCCACCACUGAUCAUCACUAGCUAACAACUUCUUAGCACACAUAUAUGCUAAUGGAGAUCAUCACUUAUUUUUGGCAAGCAGAUUAGGCAUUCAUUGUAAUUAAGUUAGCCUACAAGUAGAACAACUUAUUUUUGGCAAGCUGUUCCAACAGCAACUGUAACCUGUUUUUGAACACUAGAUUUUAGUAAAACAAGCUCUUAACGAGA